UAAUAAAUCCGUGAGAGUCCUGACC
rnacentral:piRNA from 1 species